rnacentral:lncRNA from 1 species
GGUUGAGAGGGUCAGAAGGAGGAAGGUUUGCUCUGGAAAUCUGUGUCCUUCCAAAGCCUGGCUGUCAGCAUUUGGGCAGCUCCUGAAGGGCAUCUGUCCACCCGAAGCAAGGCUGGCCUGGGGGUCAGGGAUCCAGACCUGGUUCCGGAGGGCUCCAGUGCCUUCAGCCCCAGGGCUGACUAUCACAGGACUGGAAGUGUGGCGGUGUGUUUGAUGAUGGAUAAGCACACCUCCACGCCUGCUCCCGAUCAUUUAGGACACAAAACUCUGUGCUCUGGAGCGAGCGUGGGCUGCCAUCAGCUAAGCAGGUGGAUAAUGUGGGAGACAGAUCAGCACAUAUGGCAGAAGAGGCCCAGAAUUGGGUGACGAUGAAUGUUUUCAUUUGGGCAGAUGUAACAAAAUCUCCUCGCUCCCUGCGUGGACUACUCCUUGAGGAAGUAGCCCACGUCUGAGCAGCGUCUUGCAUCAGUCACCACGCAGUUACUUCACUUCGGUGCCCUCGAGUGAGAAGUGGAGGAGGUCAACUUGAUAUAAAAGCUGUACAGCUAAGUU